CUCUACUAUAUUUUAAUUUUCAUUGUUUAAUAUAUUAUAGGCUAAUUACAUCUAUUACCAAAUAUAGAUAUUAGUAAAUUAUUUGUGAUAACAGUGCAUAGCGUAACCAUGAAAUUAUAGGUGAAUAUGCUAAUACGGUUAUACUUGCUAAUAUCUUGUUAUUAAUUGUUAUUGCUAUAUUUGGUAUCAUGACAGAUAUAGAACUGAGGUGUGAGUGAUACACACACACACACACACACACACACACACACACAUAGUUAUACUUGUUCAAAUUAUUUCCUUAUUGCAUAUGGUUAGAUUUAACUCACACAUACAUGAGCAUAAUUGUACCUAGUGUGUGGAUCAGUCGCAAGGGAAUUGUGAUUUGGACAAUGACAUCAUCCUUAGUAGAUUAGAGUUCUAUUUGAUUGGUACAUCCCUGUACUUAUCUAAGCGUUUAUAUGCAUAUAGGUGCUUAUAUUAUAUAAUUGAAGUAAUUAAAUUAUAUGAGAAUGGGUUAGUUGAUGAUUACAUGCAUCUCAACUUGUGAAAUUGUGGAAUGUGGGAGUUAGGUUGAGUAUAAUUUGUGUUCAAACAUUUUCCAGAAUCAGAAUUCAAAACCAAAAUAUAUCAUUGAUUUUGAAAUUGAAAUCAACUAAAUUCAAGAAGAUAUUGAGAAAUUCUAGUGAAAAAUCAAACACACCAAAUAAUUUAAAAAAAAAGAAAAAGAUCUAUGAAAUUAAUUAUAUGUAGCAAAUUACUUGAAUUCAACAACUCAUAAGCUGGUUUGCAUGACCAAUCUGAAUUGAUUAAAAAUCAUAACCUAGUUUGCUAUUUGAAGGAAAAAGGAAAGUAAUUGGAUGUUGCUUGCUUGGCCGGAAGCUUUGUUGUUGAUGUUUAAUUGUUUACACACACAUAUAAGUAAAUAAAGCUUUUAAUUUCAUUAGAAAUAAAUUAACCACAAUUCAUUUUAUUUAUAUUUGGUAAGUAUAAUUAAUUUACAUUUCCUUAUCAUUUUUCUUAUGAAAUUAGGGUUCACUGUCAAUAAAUAUAUAUCUAUAUAUAUAUAUAUAUAUAUAUAUAUAUAUAUAUACACAAAUUAUCUUUCAUAAGUUUCGCUAACAUCCUUGGGAGUUGCAACUUCAGAUGGGAACUUGAGAACAUUUUCUGAUAGCGAAGCAUAAACUUCGACAGUUUCUUGAACCAUUAAGUUUUUAGAAGAAUAUUUUCCAAGCGAUGAACAUUAUGAGUUAGAGGUGAUAAUCUUCCCUUUGAUACCACUUGCAAUACAAGAUCUGUUACAUCCCUGAUAUUCUUCCUUGGGAAAAGAUAGAUAUUCACCUUGUCAACAACCUAAAUGUUAUAGCCAUAAGAAUAAUAAAUGAGUUACAACAGGAAGUUUUAAGACAUUUUCAUUAUUAUAAUUGGACAUGUCAUAACCUUCCAGAAAGAUUGGAGACCCAUAUUUUUAAAGAGUUGCUGCACAUGAGAUCUUUUAAGGCCAAAUAUUUAACCUUCCAGAAAGCCUUAGACACAUGAUUUAGAGAAGGUUCACUCAAAGUGCAAUCAGAAAUUCUAAGUAAAGUAGGAUCUGCAGAUAAUUUUUGUUAUGUCUCCAAAAUAGAUGACUGGAAGAAGGUUCACUUAAAAUAAAAUAUUAGAUUCUAGUGAAAAUUGAGGCAUGAUAGUAUCUCUUUCGUAAAGUCUCCUAAGCCUGAUAAUGUUGGCCAUCAAGAAACUUGUCUAUAAAUUAGAGCAUACUUUUGAACUGAUAAUUUGAUUUAGACCACUGGGGGGAAAAAAAUGACGUGGCUGAAUGAGAAAUGAAUGUAUUUAGAAAAAGCUAUAGCACCAAAUCCCGUUGGAAAGGGCCACAUUCUUUAAAAAUAUUGUAUCUAAAAAUUAAAAAGGGAAGUAAGCUUGAUCUGUCUUGCCACUUAAUUGAGUCCAAAUGAAAAUUGCGACACAAAAUUAAGUGAAAUUAAAGUUUCUACUUCCUCUCUUGAAAAGAAAAAUAAAAAAACUAAGUUUUAUAAGUUUGGUAAGUACUGUUAACACCUAAGCUAAGCAACAUGGGUAUGAGAAAAUGACAAGGAAAUGGUAAAACCAAAAGGGAUGUGGUGACUGGGUUCUUGGCUUGUAUAUGGGUCGUGAGGUCAUCAAUGAGUACAAAGUGGCCUUUGGGGUUUUAUAGGUCUUAUCCAAUUUAUCUUAACUUUUUUUAAUUAUUUUUUUUUUAUUUUUUGUGGGUGAUUUCCGUAACCCCAUCUCUCUUUUUAAGAUGAUAUGUCAAUAUUUAGCUAUCUAGUUGUUACACCUUAAUUUGUAAUUUUAAAAUCUUCAAAUAAAAAAAUUAACCCAUUGAUGCACCAUUACUAAUUAAAUAGAAGGUUUUUACUCUUAUAAAUUAGCAUUUUCCUUUUAAUUUUUGAUCAAAAUAUCAUGGUGCCAGAAACAAUCUCUACUUGUUCUUUACUUUUUCAUGGGUACCAGAAAAUAAUUACAUCUUGUAAUUCAGUAAAAAUAAGGGAAAUUGUUGGGAUGUAAUGCUGAUGAAUUGUAAGAGGUAUAUCUGAAAGCCCAAACAACUAGAUUGGCUGUUUCAAUAUCUAUAAGUAGGUUCUUUACUUAAUUGGGUAAUUUGGAAGCAAUUCAGAAUCAGAAUUGUGAGUUUAAUAAUUCAAGCUUGUUUAUUGCCUCUUGAGCUGGCACUGAAUUAAUUUUCUCAAGAAGAAAAAUCAUUGAAUUGGAUGGUCUUUGGUUCAAGACUUUUAGUUUGAAUUUUUUUUUAUCCAAUUCUGACUUCACCUUGACGGUGUUUAUGUUCACCCACUCGUAAUAAAAGUUUUCCCAUACAAUGAAAGAGGCUCCUAGGAAGAAAUUUUUUAUUUACAAUAGACUUACCUCAAAUAUAAAUAUAUAUAAACACAAUAGUUUGGUCAGUAUCCUAACCCUUGAAACUUAAAUUUAAUUUACUGCUGCAGCAAGCUCUGGGAGGCUCAUUGUCCAGGGAGCCUUAUCGUCCUACUUAAUUGCAUGUGGCUGGGAUUAUCUUUUUGACUUUUUGUUGCAGGCCCAUUAACUAAAUUUUUUGUUUCAUAUGGGCUCAGGAUAAACUCACUUUUGUACUUUUGGUUCUUACAUGGGAUUAGAUUUAUGGAUCUCCCAUCUUCCCAUUAUUGGCAGAUUGCAGGUAGCUGGGCUUACUAGCUUUUUGACAUCUUUUUGUUGCAGACCAGUGACUAUAUUUUUUUUUGUUUCAUUGGGCUCAAAACAAAUUCACUUUUGUACUUUUGGUUAUUACAAGGGAUUGUAUUUGUGGAUCUCCCAUCUCCCCAUUGUUGGCAAGUUACAUGUAGAUGGUAUUAGUUUUUGUUACAGUUCCAUUGAUUAUGUUUUUUUGUUUCAUAUGGGCUUAGAAAAAAUUCACUUUUGUACUUUUGGAUCUCCUAUCUCCCUAUAUUGUUGGAUAUAGGUUUAAUCAUUCUCUAUGUAUAUGAAUCUCGUUUUGAUCCCAUAUUUGGAAUAUGUAUGGAUGAUUGGAUAUAUGAAAUAGUAUUUUACCUUUCAUUUGUAAAA